rnacentral:rRNA from 1 species
UGGGGAAUAUUGGACAAUGGGGGCAACCCUGAUCCAGCGAUGCCGCGUGAGUGAAGAAGGCCUUCGGGUCGUAAAGCUCUUUAGGUUGGGAAGAAGGACAUUGGGCGAAUAACCCUGUGUUUUGACGGUACCGACAGAAUAAGCACCGGCAAACUCUGUGCCAGCAGCCGCGGUAAUACAGAGGGUGCAAGCGUUAAUCGGAAUUACUGGGUGUAAAGGGCGCGUAGGCGGUGAGAUGUGUGUGAUGUGAAAGCCCCGGGCUUAACCUGGGAAGUGCAUUGCAAACUAUCGUACUAGAGUAUAUGAGAGGGUGGCGGAAUUUCCGGUGUAGCGGUGAAAUGCGUAGAGAUCGGAAGGAACGUCAAUGGCGAAGGCAGCCACCUGGCAUAAUACUGACGCUGAGGCGCGAAAGCGUGGGGAGCGAACAG